UUAAAGUGAAAUUCCUAUUUAAUAUGUCGCUGACGUCUUCAAAAUGUUCAAGACGCUGGCUUCAAAGCGACAUUUCUAUUCAGCCGUCGCUACGUCGUGUCGUGUUUGUCGUCUUUGUGUUCAGCACUUAAGAGAGAGAUGCAAGUUCUACAAUGAACUAUUCAAAAUCGCUGUCAUGGCCGCCAUUCAUAUGAAAAGAAAUUGUGAAGUGAGUGGAUGUCAAGCGGUACUAUGUUUGACUGGGUGCUGCAGAGUAUUUUAAAGGGAUAUAAUUGCAGAAAAUUCUUGGAAGUGGAAACAAAUUCCCAAAAUACAUCUUAGAUGGUAUCCAUAAAAAACGCAAAAUUCGACGAAGAUGGCAGCAAACUAGGUCGGCUGCCCUCAAAACUGAGCUUAAUAGACGUUCAUCGGAACAAAAAUUAGAAAUUAUUCCUUCAAAACGUAUUUGUCCACACUCACUGUUGAUAAAUCUACCGAUUAUUCGCUCUGGAAAGCUAACAAAUUAAUAAACAAAUAAAACAUGUCGCACAAAUAAAAUUAAACGAAACUGAAUGGGCAAAAACGAAUGCGCAAAAGGCUGCAGUACUAGUAAAGAAAUUAAAAGUCUUAUCAUGAACGCAAAGCUCAAAAAAGCUCAUGGGUUUGAUUUAAUAACCGGAGAAAUAUUACGCAAUCUACCAAAGAAUUGUAUAAACAAAUUUUAAACACUGUAAACAGUGCAUUAUACUUAAGAUACGUUCCAUAUCUUUGGAAAGUAUCUGAAGUUAUUAUGAUAUCUAAGCCUCAUAAAGAGGCUUAAAUCAAUAAUAGAUCGAAAACAUCUUAUACCAGUACAUCAGUUCGGAUUACCUGAUCAUCGUUAAACAAUUGAAAAUGCUAUGGAUAAAAAGAGGGUUUGUUCGGCGGCCUUCUUAGACGUGUGUCAGGCUUUUGAUAGAGUUUGGCAUUCGGGUCUACUGCUGAAAUUGAAAUGCAUGUUAGCCAAACAGUAUUGAGAAAUAAUUGCUUCCUACCUAAAAGAUAGAUACUUUCGCAUAAAUCAAGAUGAUGUAUACUCAAACUUGCAACCGAUAGAAGCGGGUGUUCCCCAGGGAAGCGUGUUGGGGCCAAUGCUUUACUUGCAUUUUACAAGUGAUAUCCCCACUGACUCAAGUUAUGUGACAGCUACAUUUGCGGAUGACACAGUCCAGUUAGCAGCAGGAGAGUCAACCUCAAUAUCUACCCUUCGAGUGCAAACAGCAGUCAAUGCAAUUACUAAAUGGGCUUCCAAGAGGCGUAUUAUAUUAAACGAUUAAUGCACGUAGACUUUACUUAAAAAAAAACAUCAUACCAUCCCAUUUAUAUAAAUGGUACUCCUAUACCACAUCACAAUAAUGCUAAGUACCUAGGAAUCACCCUAGAUGCUAAGCUUCGCUGGAAAGAGCAUGUCAAGAAAAAAAGUGUGAGCUUGAUUUAAAAUUUGUUUAGUUUUACCAUCUAGUCGGUAGGAGAUCCACGCUUUCAAUUGAAAACCAGCUGUUUGUAUAUAAUCAAGUACUAAAGCCAAAUUGGGCCUAUGGAGCUCAACCACGGGGUUGCUCAAGUCAAAACUGUAAUGCCUGCAUUCAGCGGUUCCAAAAUAGUAGUAAAUCAUCAUAUCGUACAAUACAAAUUCGAACUAGAAUUCGCCAAUGAUGAAAGACAGAAAGUAACAAAAAUCGUGCACCAGAAGUCCAUACAAAAUGAACAACUACAACAGGUAUUAUUGAAAUUAAUUUAAUUGCAAAAUUAAAACAAAAUAUUUUUGAUAUUCUACUUUGGACUUUGGAGUAGCAGUUUCACUACUUAUUUUUGACGUGCUAUACACAGUGUUUGCUAUGAUGCCCUUGGAUCUACACAAUGUUUAGUUAACAUAGUAACAGAGCUCAAAAAACAAUUGAGGCGCAGAAGUUGCUUAUCGUGCUUCUGAUUUGACUAUGCAGGAGUUAUUAAACUGAACUUACAAUUUACAAUUUACAACCUCAUUUUCAAUAUUUUGAUUGUUAAUAUAUAAAUUUUGAACGUUCGCAAUAGCACUAAAUUUAUUAAUUUAAAUGUAAAAUAUAUGUAAUUAGCAUCUAUAUACAAAUGACUGUACGAAUAUUUGUAACAAUAGUAGUGAAAUUUAAUUUGUAUUGCAUAAAAACACAAAAAAUCAAUACUAAAAACCUUUGAGAAACUGUAAAUUACUAAAAUUUAAUAAUUAAUACUAACUGUAUAUGUAAAAUAUGAAAAUUUUAUCAAUGUAUAAAUGAUAGCCGCCAACACGUUUGUAAAAAUUAAAGUUUGCCUUGUACUGAAUUGCUAAUCUUUAAAAAAUAAUCUAUAAUAAUUAUUAAAAGUAUAAAAUACCAUACAAAUUUAUAAAUGUAAAUACCUCAUACACUUAAAUAUAUAAAAAUGUGGUGAUUAUUGUGGUUCCCGCUUUGAUUAGAAUUAAUUUAGUAAUAUAUUUUAAGCGCCGAUGCGCACGAGUCGCUGCCAGGUUCUAUUGGUUAUUUAUUGGUUAUUCCCAUUUAUGCUAUAUUCGUGUCAGCAUUCCUGGAAGUGCGCUUAACUUGCUGGCAUGAUGUUGACAAAUUCAUAAGUUUAAUUUAAAGAUUUAUACAAAUUAAAUAUAGUUGUGGCAAGGCCAAACUUCAAUCAAUA